rnacentral:lncRNA from 1 species
UGUCUCGUGUUAUUAGCAACAGAUAAUGGACUAAGGUACCUGGCUUUUGCCUAGGCGCCUCCUGGGUCCUUGCCUCCCGGGUGCUACCCUGGUGAGUGCUAGGCUUGUGGGUUGGCGGUAGAGACCUGCUCUGAGAUGAAGACACAUCCUGUUCAAAUCAUGUCGCACUAAACCACGUGGGGGCCACUCCUCCCCUCCGGCUGAGAACACUGCCUGCAUCCUGGUGUCUGCAGUGCACAGACACUAAUAACCAAUCACACACGUGUGUGGGGCACAGGCCAAGGAGCCUGGAUGAAUGGGUGGCCCUGUCUGAACCUGAGCUCAGGUGAGUGCUCUUGGGCACUGGGUUUUGCCACUAGUAAUGUUGAUGCAGUGUCCUGUCUCAGUGUCCUGCUCUGACAUGCUUGGUCUGCUGUCUGCUCUGUGUCCUGUUGUGUUUUCUGGCACCUACAGGACAGACGUGACACAGCCAACUCACUCAAUAUGGCAGCAGGUGUGGCAAACAGAGCAGGCGUUGGGGUGAAAUCAGGUUCAUCUUGGCUGUUGCUCUGGGACCAUCGGGGCAGGCCGUCUUCAGACUUGUCCCUUACCCUCUUG